GGUAGCAGGUGAGGCUGAAAAUGCAAGUAGCAAGCUAAAAACUGGUUUCAAGUCCUCCCCAUCUGGUGAAACCUCAGAGCCCAUCAGAUAGAAAAUGCCAGCUGGGACUGUGCUAAUUCGCUUUCACAAUCAACAGUGUCGACAUGAAGAGCCUGCCGGACUGGACGGUGCAAAAUGGGAAGAACCUGACCCUGCAGUGCUUCGCGGAUGUCAGCACCACCUCUCACGUCAAGCCUCAGCACCAGAUGCUGUUCUAUAAGGAUGACGUGCUGUUUUACAACAUCUCCUCCAUGAAGAGCACAGAGAGUUAUUUUAUUCCUGAAGUCCGGAUCUAUGACUCAGGGACGUAUAAAUGUACUGUGAUUGUGAACAACAAAGAGAAAACCACAUCAGAGUACCAGGUGUUGGUGGAAGGAGUGCCCAAUCCCAGGGUGACACUGGACAAGAAAGAGGCCAUCCAAGGCGGGGUCGUGAGGGUCAACUGUUCUGUCCCAGAGGAAAAGGCCCCAAUAUACUUCACAAUUGAAAAACUUGAACUAAAUAAAAAAAUGGCCAAGCAAAAAAGAGAGAAGGCUUCUCGGGAC
rnacentral:sRNA from 1 species